AGUUAUUAGAUAGCUGAAGUUUGAAAUGUUCAAAUACCUUUUGCCAAAUAACAUGGUAAACAAAGCAAAGAUGGGCAAAGAAAUACAAAAAAUGAUAACAUAUUUUAACAUGACAUGUGGCAAGAGUCUGCAGAUAUACAAAAUAAAUGAAAGCUCAAUAAUGCAUUAUGACAGAAUAUUUCCUGACAUACAUAGCAUGUAACAGGAACGAAACUGAUUAAUGGAAAGUAAGGUAAAAGUAAAGGUUCCCCUCGCACAUAUGUGCUACUUGUUCCUAAAUGUAGGGGGCGAUGCUCAUUCUCUGUUUCAAAGCUGAAGAGCCAGCACUGUCCGAAGACAUCUCCGUGAACAUGUGGCCGGCAUGAUUAAAUGGCAAAGGCGCACGGAACGUUGUUACCUUCCUACCAAAGUGGCCCCUAUUUUUCUACUUGCAUUUUUUACAUGCUUCCGAACUGCUAGGUCGGCAGAAGCUGGGACAAAUAACGGGAGCUCACCUCUUUACGCAGCACUAGGGAUUCGAACCGCUGAACUGCUGACCUUUCGAUCGACAAGCUCAGCAUCUUAGCCACUAAGCCACCACUAAUGGAAAGUACACAUAGUUAAACUCUUCUCUGUUCGUGUAGUAAAUUCAUAUUAGAGGUUUUUAAAAUAAUUGUUGUUGUUAUUGCCGAAUCUAUCAUCAUGAUCUGUUGAACAUCCUUGGUUGAAUUUGCACAUUAGACAAAUCCUUGUCUUGUUCAUGCAGUAAGUUCAGACAAGGUUGUUUUUUUUAAAAUUAUUUUUGUUGUUAUUGUUGAAUCUUAUCAUCAUGAUCUGGUGCACAUCCUGGGUGAAUUUGCGCAUUAGGCAAGCCAGUUCCCAUGGAUUAUUAGGGUGACAAGGCAAACACAGCCCUGAUUAUGGAGCUCUUAGUAGAAGCCAAGUUAUUUUAGGACCCAGCAGCAAUUUUUGCCACUCUCCCUUACACACUGCACCGCUAUUAAGUGUACAACUGGCCGGGUCAUCCCCGUCGCUUGCUCCUUCUUGUUGGAGCCCUCUGCGCCUGGCUUCCGAAGCGUUUGCAGGCACAGGGAAAGCCUGUUUCCUCCCCAUCCUGAACCAGCAGCUUUCCUUUGCGGAGGGGCGCUCGCGGCGGUAUAGCCGGCAGCGAAAUCUCCCCGGCCCAGUUUAGGGCCGCCGGCUGAGUCUGCAUGCGCCUGCGCGGCCGCGCCACUACCGAGACGAAAGAGGGACUUGGAGAGCUCCGGCUUGGGUCUUUCCGUUACUUUGACGCGCCAAAGCCUCCUUCGCCUCGCCUUCUCCCGCCGUUAUCUUAGCGCGGUGCAGCAGCCUUGGCCGAGACUCCGGCUAGAAUUCGGGUCCUCCCUCGGGGGGCGGGGCCACGGAAAGACCGCGGCGUCCCCACCUCCUUUCUCGGUAGCUCCAAGGAGAGAACGGGAUUACUGCACGGGGAAGCCGCCAGCCUCAUCUUCUCUGCUUCGGGCUUAAAACUGGAUGGAAGCCGCCCGGGGGCUUGGCGGGGAACCUCAGCAGCUAAUAACGGGAAUCCCUCACCGGGUGCUGCCGCCCGCCUGCGGUUCUUGCUGCUGCCCGCGGGCUGCGAGAUGCUGAGCUGCGGCUCCAAGAAAGCGCUCGGGGCCCCCGGUUCGGUGCUUGCGCGCGCCUGAGGCGAGAAGGACGACGACCUGCCGUCUCCUAAUGGACACGAGAGUCCCGGGCACAGCUCGGGGCUGCUGCUGCUGCAUCUUCGGGGGAAAGGUCGUGUGAACGCCGAGAGCCGCAGAGGGACCCAACGCUGCUGCCUUCGUAUGGGUGGAAUGCUGGGCGGGCUACCCAUUCCGGGUCGUCUCGUUGGGCAGGGGGCUUAAGAGGUGGCUUUUAGGGUUGUUAUUUUUGUUCUUAAUUAUUCUUAUUAUCCCGAGUUUCAUUUGGAAAGCCGAGGGGUGUGUGAGUGCGAGUGUGUGUGGUGUGUGAGUGUGUGUGGUGCAGGCGACUACAAGCCCGUCCAUGGCCAACCCGCGGCGGUGCAUUGAGCUGGAGCAUUUCGAGGAGCGAGACAAAAGGCAGCAGCGCUCGGGCUCCCGCCGGGGAGGGGGCAGCUCCACUUGUAGCAGCAGCUCGGGGCCCAAAGGCAACGGGCUCAUCCCCAGCCCCGCGCACAGCGCCCACUGCAGCUUCUACCGCACGCGCACCCUCCAGGCCCUCAGCUCGGAGAAGAAAGCCAAAAAGGCGCGCUUCUACCGCAACGGGGACAAGUACUUCAAGGGCUUGGUCUACCCCAUUUCCAGUGACCGUUUCCGCUCCUUCGACGCCCUCCUGGUCGAGCUCACCAGGUCUCUGUCCGACAACGUCAACCUGCCUCAGGGCGUCCGGGCCAUCUAUACCGUCGAUGGCAGCCGAAAGCUCACCAGCCUCGAAGAACUGGUGGAUGGUGAAAGUUAUGUAUGCGCUUCCAAUGAGCCAUUUCGGAAAGUUGAUUAUACUAAGAAUGUUAAUCCAAAUUGGUCUGUCAACAUAAAAUCUGGGUCAUCUCGAUCAUUCACAUCUUUAACAUCUGCAAAAAGUGAAAUAAGGGAGAGCAAAGACUUCAUUAAACCUAAACUGGUAACUGUUAUACGCAGUGGAGUGAAGCCACGAAAAGCUGUGAGAAUUUUGCUGAAUAAAAAAACUGCUCAUUCCUUUGACCAAGUGUUGACUGAUAUAACAGAAGCUAUUAAGUUAGAUUCAGGCGUUGUUAAGAGAAUUUGCACACUGGAUGGGAAACAGGUUACCUGUUUGCAAGACUUUUUUGGUGACGAUGACGUUUUUAUUGCCUGUGGACCUGAAAAAUAUCGUUAUGCUCAAGAUGAUUUUGUUCUGGACCAUAGUGAAUGCCGUGUUAUGAAAUCAUCUUAUUCUCGUGCAUCUGGAACAACAAGGUAUUCUGGAUCUAAAAGUCCUGGGCUUUCACGUCGAAGCAAGUCCCCAGCUUCAGUAAAGAGGGGUGGCCACUACUCCAGUACAUGCUCUUCAGCAAAAUCCCCAGUCAGUGGAGCCCCCAGCAGCCAGAUUUCUACUCCUAAAUCAACAAAAUCAUCUAGUUCCUCACCAACAAGUCCUGGAAGUUUUCGGGGACUCAAGAUUCUUCCUCCUUGUGAAUCUUCUUCUAAUGUAAAUGGUGUGCCUGAAAUAUCUCCUUCCCUGAGUCCCGAAGGUAUAAAUGGAAACAAAUACUCUGAGACAGCCACUAUUCUUGAAAAGUACAAAGUGGGAAAAGUGAUUGGUGAUGGUAAUUUUGCAGUGGUAAAAGAAUGCAUAGAACGAUCCACCAGAAAGGAAUUUGCCCUGAAGAUUAUUGACAAAGGAAAAUGUUGUGGAAAGGAACACUUGAUUGAAAACGAAGUGUCAAUUCUACGCCGAGUGAAACAUCCCAAUAUUAUUAUGCUAGUAGAGGAAAUGGAUACUGCGACUGAGUUAUAUUUGGUGAUGGAAUUGGUCAAGGGAGGAGAUCUCUUUGAUGCUAUUACAUCUUCAACAAAGUACACAGAGCGUGAUGGAAGUGCAAUGGUCUACAAUCUAGCCAGUGCACUGAAAUAUCUUCAUGGUCUCAGUAUUGUCCACAGAGACAUCAAACCUGAGAAUCUUCUGGUUUGUGAAUAUCCAGAUGGGACAAAAUCCUUGAAGCUAGGAGACUUUGGAUUAGCCACUGUAGUUGAAGGACCUCUUUAUACAGUCUGUGGCACACCAACCUAUGUGGCUCCAGAAAUUAUUGCAGAAACAGGUUAUGGCUUAAAAGUGGACAUUUGGGCUGCAGGUGUCAUUACGUACAUUCUCUUAUGUGGGUUUCCACCAUUUCGUAGUGAGAACAACAUACAAGAAGAUCUUUUUGAUCAGAUCUUAAUUGGAAAGCUAGAAUUUCCUUCUCCAUAUUGGGAUAACAUCACUGACUCUGCUAAGGAAUUAAUUAGUCUGAUGUUACAAGUAAAUGUGGAAGAACGAUAUACAGCUGCUCAGAUAUUAAACCAUCCUUGGGUAUCAGAUGAUGCCUCUCAAGAAAAUAAUAUGCAAGCUGAAGUAACAGGUAAAUUAAAGCAGCACUUUAACAACACACUUCCCAAACAGAAUAACCAAAAUGCAGGAGUGUCUAUUAUCAUGUUUGACUUGACAGUCUGAGAGACUUCAAAACUCAAUGUUUUGUAUUUGAGACUUUGGAUAAUCCUGAAGCAAAACCUGAACACAGCUCUAGAUAAAGAAAAUCAGAUAUUUUGCAACAAGCGCUGUCAAAUCCCAGGUCAAGCUGAUGUGAAGUAAAUCACCAAGAUAAAUCCUGCUCCUCAGCCUUCUACAACUGAUCACAAGUUGACUUCUCCU